AAUGUUGUUGCAAUAGCAAUUUAACUUUCGAGAGGAGCCGAUCAUUCGGAUAAUUGGUAUGGGUCGGCUUGAGCAGAGAAUGACCCGAACCCAUCAUCCGUUAGGUUACGGCUGAACGCCUCUAAGCCAGACCCGUGCUAAAACGCGACGAGCACUGCCUUUUCCCGAUAUUUAAUCGAAUAAAAAUAACCCCUUAGGUCCAAGAUCAUACUACAUGGGGUUAUGUUGCAGGGUGGAAAUGCUUUGUGAGGCUGCUGCUAAUGUCAAUGUCAAACAUUGGAAGAGAUAAAUCCAUUGCAGACGACUUUAGCUGAACGGGGUAUUGUAAGCAGUAGAGUAGCCUUGUUGCUAUGAUCUGCCGAGAUGAAGCUCAUUGUUCAAUAGAUUU
rnacentral:ncRNA from 1 species